rnacentral:rRNA from 1 species
UACGAAGGGGGCUAGCGUUGCUCGGAAUCACUGGGCGUAAAGGGUACGUAGGCGGGUUUUUAAGUCAGGGGUGAAAUCCUGGAGCUCAACUCCAGAACUGCCUUUGAUACUGGAGAGCUUGAGUUCGGGAGAGGUGAGUGGAACUGCGAGUGUAGAGGUGAAAUUCGUAGAUAUUCGCAAGAACACCAGUGGCGAAGGCGGCUCACUGGCCCGAUACUGACGCUGAGGCACGAAAGCGUGGGGAGCAAACAGG